AAGAAGGCUUACUUCCUGGUUAACCUAAAAUAUCAGUGAAAUGGUGGUGAAAUACUAUAGCUUCAGCAGAGAGGAAGAAAAACCAAGAAUCCAGAAAGGGGCAUGAAACAAACAGCUUACUAAGCAUCCCUUAACUAUGCCCCUGCUACCAGGCAGCUCUUGCAUACCUGUGCAAGCACAGAUAAGAUCUUACUUGGAUCGUCUACAAAUUCCAGACCAGAGUUUCUACUGUGGAGUUUAAUGUUCAAAGAAGUUUUCUACAUUUGUCCCAGUGGUGGGUUGCCCCCGGUUCGUAUCAGUUCUAUAGAACCGGCAGUAAAACCGGCGGGAGGCUCUGCCCACUGACCCUGACGCCAUCAAAAUGCUUCUGCGCAUACGCAGAAGCUUCUGCACUUGCAUAUGCACCCCGUUGCAAGCCAGUAGUAAAGGUAAGUAGAACCCACCCCUGAUUUGUCUCCUGCCUUCAAAAAGGAGCUCUUGUAUAAAGAGGGGUUGUGAAUAAAUUAUAAUCUGGGUU